AGGGAGGUAUAUAAAACCAUUCAUGAUUCAGAAACCUUCCAGCAGGUUCUCUUGACUUCUCCCCGGUGGACUGAGUUUUACAACACAGCUAAAAGAUGUCCUGUGAGAAAACAGUGUGUGCUCAACCAUGCUCUGUCCCGUGCGACACAAAAUGCCCUGAGCCCCGCGCUGCCGCCUGCAAUGAGCCCUGUGUCAUCGCCUGCCCAGACUCCCGCGUGAUUAUCUUCCCACCUCCUGUGGUGGUGACCUUCCCGGGACCCAUCCUCACCACUUACCCACAGGAAACCGUCGUGGGCUCCACGGAGUCAGCUGAGCUGGCCGGCACCUUGGAGUCGGGUGUGGCGAUUACUUCGGCGCAGAAGGGUGCUGAGUGUGUGCAGCCCUGCAUCGAUCGGUGUGCCCCACAGUUUGUGACCAAGUGUGAGACCCAGUGCGCUCCUCCAUGUCCUCCUCCGUGUCCUCCUCCAUGUCCUCCUCCGUGCCCUCCUCCAUGCCCUCCUCCAUGCGCUCCCCCGUGCAUACCGGAGCGCUCCUACACCUAUUCCACCCGCUGGAAGCAUCCUUGCCAGAGGGGCUUCUGUAAGAAGAUAUAAUCAGCUUAAAACAAAGAAUAGUUGCAGGAAAAGAACAAACAAAGAAGUGAAAGAACAUGGCACGUGAUUUACAAGCAUGGCUACCAGAGAGGGAAGCUACCCCUGAAAACCAGGACCCUACAUUUAGUAGUGCUUUAGCUUAGAUUAAUGCUUUCUUUAUUCUUGUGGCUUUGCAUCUUACGUCUGCACUUUUAGCUUUCUCUGCCCAGUUUGACAUUGACCGUGGUUUUGAAACACAGCACACAGAGGGAUUUGAAUGUCAGGCUCAGCAAGGGUGAGGAAAGUGAAUGUCUCGAUGAAAUGCGUCACACUGGAAUGGGUAAUUGGUUUUAGCUUUUCUUGUCUCUAGAAAUACGCUCUUUCUAGUCUGCAUUAUUCUUUCUGCAAAUGUUUACUCCACUUUGCAUUUACAUUAAAAUGCUGCUGCAUCAAA